CGAACGCUGGCGGCGUGCCUAAUACAUGCACGUCGAACGCACUCUCGUUUAGAUUGAAGGAGCUUGCUCCUGAUUGAUAAACAUUUGAGUGAGUGGCGGACGGGUGAGUAACACGUGGGUAACCUGCCCUAAAGUGGGGGAUAACAUUUGGAAACAGAUGCUAAUACCGCAUAAAACCUAACACCGCAUGGUGUAGGGUUGAAAGAUGGUUUCGGCUAUCACUUUAGGAUGGACCCGCGGUGCAUUAGUUAGUUGGUGAGGUAAAGGCUCACCAAGACCGUGAUGCAUAGCCGACCUGAGAGGGUAAUCGGCCACACUGGGACUGAGACACGGCCCAGACUCCUACGGGAGGCAGCAGUAGGGAAUCUUCCACAAUGGACGAAAGUCUGAUGGAGCAACGCCGCGUGAGUGAAGAAGGUUUUCGGAUCGUAAAACUCUGUUGUUGGAGAAGAAUGUAUCUGAUAGUAACUGAUCAGGUAGUGACGGUAUCCAACCAGAAAGCCACGGCUAACUACGUGCCAGCAGCCGCGGUAAUACGUAGGUGGCAAGCGUUGUCCGGAUUUAUUGGGCGUAAAGCGAGCGCAGGCGGUUUCUUAAGUCUGAUGUGAAAGCCUUCGGCUCAACCGAAGAAGUGCAUCGGAAACUGGGAAACUUGAGUGCAGAAGAGGACAGUGGAACUCCAUGUGUAGCGGUGAAAUGCGUAGAUAUAUGGAAGAACACCAGUGGCGAAGGCGGCUGUCUGGUCUGUAACUGACGCUGAGGCUCGAAAGCAUGGGUAGCAAACAGGAUUAGAUACCCUGGUAGUCCAUGCCGUAAACGAUGAGUGCUAGGUGUUGGAGGGUUUCCGCCCUUCAGUGCCGCAGCUAACGCAUUAAGCACUCCGCCUGGGGAGUACGACCGCAAGGUUGAAACUCAAAGGAAUUGACGGGGGCCCGCACAAGCGGUGGAGCAUGUGGUUUAAUUCGAAGCAACGCGAAGAACCUUACCAGGUCUUGACAUCCUUUGACCACUCUAGAGAUAGAGCUUUCCCUUCGGGGACAAAGUGACAGGUGGUGCAUGGUUGUCGUCAGCUCGUGUCGUGAGAUGUUGGGUUAAGUCCCGCAACGAGCGCAACCCUUAUUACUAGUUGCCAGCAUUAAGUUGGGCACUCUAGUGAGACUGCCGGUGACAAACCGGAGGAAGGUGGGGACGACGUCAAAUCAUCAUGCCCCUUAUGACCUGGGCUACACACGUGCUACAAUGGAUGGUACAACGAGUUGCGAGACCGGAAGGUUUAGCUAAUCUCUUAAAACCAUUCUCAGUUCGGAUUGUAGGCUGCAACUCGCCUACAUGAAGCCGUAAAAGGUAGUAAUCGCGGAUCAGCAUGCCGCGGUGA
rnacentral:rRNA from 1 species